rnacentral:rRNA from 1 species
GACAGAGGUGCCAAGCGUUAGGCGGAAUCACUGGGCUUAAAGCGUGUGUAGGCGGGUGCCUAAGUACCUUGUGAAAUCCCACGGCUCAACCGUGGAACUGCUCGGUAUACUGGGUGCCUUGAGCCACUUAGGGGCCACCGGAACAAAUGGUGGAGCGGUGAAAUGCGUAGAUAUCAUUUGGAACGCCAAUGGUGAAAACAGGUAGCUGGGAGUGUGCUGACGCUGAGACACGAAAGCCAGGGGAGCGAACGGG